GCAAACUUGGUCAUUUAGAGGAAGUAAAAGUCGUAACAAGGUCUCCGUAGGUGAACCUGCGGAGGGAUCAUUAAUGAAUGGCCGUAAGGCCCUCAACCCUUCAAACCUGUGGAAGCCAAAAUGUGCUUCGGCGCCGGGCCCCGGCGUCGCACUUAAAUGCAUUGACUGUCUUGUGUCUGAAUGUUAGCAUGAAGCAAAAUAAAACUUUCAACAAAGGAUCUCUUGGCUCUUGCAUCGAUGAAGAACGCAGC
rnacentral:misc_RNA from 1 species